ensembl:lncRNA
GUCAUGGAUAUCAUUAGGAUCUUUGGGAUCGGUGGGGUCAGUGGGGUUAUUCGGGUCAGUGAGGCUGUUGGGGUCAAUAGGAUCAUCAGGAUCAGUGGGGUCAGUGGUGUCAUACGGGGUCAUUGGGGUCAAUGAGGCCAUGUUGGAUCAUUGGGGUCAGUGGGGUCACUGGGUCAUUGGGGUCAGUGGGGUCAGUGGGGUCAAUAGGGUCAUAUGAGGUUAAUGGGGUCAAUGGGGUCAGUGGGGCAAAGGGGUUGUUGGGGUCAUAUGGGAAAUGGACCCAAUUCUUCCCUUGUUCUGACGCAGAAACAACAUUGGAUUCCCACAUAGGCACCCAUGGGGGCAUUCGAUUCCCCUGCAGGUUCCUGCUGGGUUCGGGGCUCCCCUGAUGGGGAACUGCUCAUCUCCUUCUGCGACCGCCCCCCAACGCCACUACUGCCUCCUCUUUGAUAAUGUCUACCCGGAGUGAGAUGAAGGAACAACGGCUCAGACGUUGGUGGGAGCGGUUCAGUACGAAUGUCAAUGAGGGAGAUGGGGAGGGGGAGGACGGACAGCAUUACGGGUUGGGGUGAUGGGGAAGGGAAGAAAGGGAGCAGGAAAGAGGAAAUAGGAGCGGGGAGUCUCCAUAGGUACAGAUUGGGUGAUGGGGAAGGAAGAAAAGGAGCAGGAAAGAUAGGAAAUAGGAGCGGGGAGUGUCCAUAGGUACAAAUUGGGUGAUGGGGAAGGGAAGAAGGGCAGCAGGAAAGAGGAAAUGGGAGCGAGGAGUCUAUAGGUACAGACUGGGGUGAUGGGGAAGGGAGAAAAGGAGCAGGAAAGAGGAAAUGGGAGCGGGGAGUGUCCAUAGGUACAGAUUGGGUGAUGGGGAAGGGAAGAAGGGCAGCAGGAAAGAGGAAAUGGGAGCGGGGAAUCUCCAUAGGUACAGAUUGGGUGAUGGGGAAGGAUGAAAAGGAGCAGGAAAGAUAGGAAAUAGGAGCGAGGAGUGUCCAUAGGUACAGAUUGGGUGAUGGGGAAGGGAAAAAGGGCAGCAGGAAAGAUAGGAAAUAGGAGCGAGGAGUCUCUAGAGGUACUAAUUGGGUGAUGGGGAAGGGAAGAAGGGCAGCAGAAAUAGGAAAUGGGAGCGAGGAGUGUCUAUAGGUACAGAUUGGGUGAUGGGGAAGGAAGAAAAGGAGCAGGAAAGAGGAAAUAGGAGCAAGGAGUGUCCAUAGGUACAGAUUGGGUGAUGGGGAAGGAAGAAAAGGAGCAGGAAAGAUAGGAAAUAGGAGCAAGGAGUCUAUAGGUACAGACUGGGGUGAUGGGGAAGGAAGAAAAGGAG